AUAAUUAUAAAAAUUAUAUGAACACAUUGUUAUAAUAACAUACGCGACUAUUACAUAAAUUAGGUCUGAGAAUGUGUUCAAUUACAUGCGUGUACUAACAUACACGCGUAUAAUUGAAUUAUUAUUAUCAUAUUUUAUCAUAUUUAUUAUUGUACUUAGUAUUCUAUUUAUCUUACUGCUAUAAAUGUUUUUAAAUUACAAGAAAACCUCGUAUGGCACGUACAACACAAGUCCAAUACGAAGAGUUAGUGAAAUAUAUGGAGAUUCAUUUAGAAUUUACUGCAAAAAGUUUUUAACUAAAGAGGGUAAAAUUCAUCAUACACAAUGAAAAAAAUUAAAAGACUUUUUAAAUUCAUUAAGUACUGGACUCGGAAAGUCGACAAAGCAAUGGCAGACGGUAUGGAGAGAUAUAAAAAGCAACUCAUCAAAGAAAGCAGCAAAAAUAAGAAAUGAAUGGAAUCGAACAGGAAAUUUUCUAAUAAAUUCAGAACUUUUGGACAAUUUAGAAUAACGUGUCAUCACUUGUACGGGUUUAGAUUACAUACAUUUAGGUUUUUGUCCAGAUAGUACACCAGUGGAAGAAAUAUAUACGUAUAUGUAGCAUCUUUUUUUUGUAAUUUAUAAUGAGCAUCAACUUGAAUUGGAAAAAAGAAAUGAAGUUCUUGACUAGCCACCUGCAGUAUCAUUCAUUGCUGACAUUUUAAAAGAAAACUAUGAUACAAACAAUAGUAAUAUUGAAAUGUAUAAA